rnacentral:rRNA from 1 species
CCAAUAGCGUAUAUUAAAGUUGUUGCAGUUAAAAAGCUCGUAGUUGAAUUUCGGGAUCAAUUUAUCGGUCGUGCCAAUGGUAUGAACUGGUACAAUUGGUUUCUCCCUUCUGACGAAGCAUGAUGUCAUUAAUUUGGUGUCGUGGGGAAUCAGGACUGUUACUUUGAAAAAAUUAGAGUGUUUAAAGCAAGCAUUAGCUUGAAUACAUUAGCAUGGAAUAAUGAAAUAGGACGUUUGAUCCUAUUUCGUUGGUUUCUAGGAUCGACGUAAUGAUUAAUAGGGAUAGUUGGGGGCAUUAGUAUUCAAUUGUCAGAAGUGAAAUUCUUGGAUUUAUUGAAGACUAACUACUGCGAAAGCAUUUGCCAAGGAUGUUUUCAUUAAUCAAGAACGAAAGUUAGGGGAUCGAAGACGAUCAGAUACCGUCGUAGUCUUAACCAUAAACUAUGCCGACUAGGGAUCGGAUGAUGUUAAUUUUUUAAUGACUCAUUCGGCGCCUUACG